GCCGCAAUACUUGUGCUAAGGUAGCACAAUCACUAGCCUUUUAAUUUAAGGAUUGAAUGAAAGGAUACACGAUCUAAAUUACUUUCCCAAUUAAUUAAUAUUAACUUAAUUUAAAAGUAAAAAAGCUUUUAUACUUUAGAAAGACGACAAGACCCUGAUGAAUUUCACUAUAGUUUAGCUGGGGUGGCUAAAAAUAAAUACUUUAUUUUAAUUAAUGAUAUAGAACUAAUAAUAUUAAUAAGAAAAAUAAAUUACCACAGGGAUAACAGCAUAAUUUUACUAAAAAGAUAAUAUUUAAAGUAAAGAUUAUGACCUCGAUGUUGAAUUAAUUUAACUUUACAAAAUAAAUGUCGUAAAAGUAUGUCUGUUCGACAUAUAAAAUAUUACAUGAUUUGAGUUCAGACCGGCGUAAGCCAGGUCAGAUUUUAUCUUCUAUAAAUUUAUUACAGUACGAAAGGACCUAAUAAAAGAUA
rnacentral:rRNA from 1 species